rnacentral:rRNA from 1 species
UAGUUGCCAUCAGGUAAAGCUGGGAACUCUGGGGAGACUGCCGGUGAUAAACCGGAGGAAGGCGGGGAUGACGUCAAGUCCUCAUGGCCCUUACAUCCCGGGCUACACACGUGCUACAAUGGCAGGUACAGAGGGCUGCGAAGCCGGCGAGGUGGAAGCGAAUCCCAGAAAACCUGUCUCAGUCCGGAUUGAAGUCUGCAACUCGACUUCAUGAAGGCGGAAUCGCUAGUAACCGCGAAUCAGCAGGUCGCGGUGAAUACGUUCCCGGGCCUU